rnacentral:rRNA from 1 species
CACGUAGGCACCAAGCGUUAUCCGGAUUUAUUGGGCGUAAAGAGCUCGUAGGUGGUUCGGUAAGUCGGAUGUGAAAUCUCCAGGCUCAACCUGGAGGGGUCAUUCGAUACUGCCGUGACUAGAGUUCGGUAGAGGAGUGUGGAAUUCCUGGUGGAGCGGUGAAAUGCGCAGAGAUCAGGAGGAACACCCGUAGCGAAGGCGGCACUCUGGGCCGAUACUGACACUGAGGAGCGAAAGCGUGGGGAGCGAACAGG